CCGAACUCGCAGCCCUGUGCGCGAAGAAUGAUUCAGCGGAACGUCCUCUUCUUGAGUUACCUGCACAAGCAACCCGACCCGGCCUUCAUCCAUGUAACCAAGAACAGGUGUCACCAAGAAACAGGUACCAGGAAAUGCAUGGCGAGAGGAAAAAAAAAAGAAAAGAAAAAAACGUCUGAAGAAUCAAUUGAUGAAAGCGACACCGAAUGAGAUGUGUGCAGAAGCUCUGGAAACGGCAGAGAUGUUGGCAGGCGCCGAGCGCGUUGGCACGGAGUCCGCUGGCGCCAAACCUCGGCUGGUAGGCAGCAAGUCCCCCAACCUGAGGAGCCCCGAAUAUUUCGGGAAAAAAGGAACGAGACGCAGGGAGGAGGGACAGACGAAAAACACAAACACGAGCGGGGUUAAGGGCCCUCUCGCGUGCCAGCGCUGACCGCUGGAGAGGCCAAGGGCGAGACUGGCCCUUCCUCCCAACGCUGUCGAACAAAACUCCAGGAAAAUUCAUGAUCUACAAGUGUGUGGAGGGACCAUAUCUGCAGAUUCUCAAUUUUCCUUGAACACAUUACAUGCCCUGAUGACCUCACUUGGAAAUUCUGUUGAAUGUCCUAAAACUGAAUUGAGAAACGAAGGUCUAAGAGAAAGGAGGUGUCACAGUGUGAGAAUAGAAUAUAUACAACACACAAGCUCUAUAUUUCUCCACUAACCCAGACUGCCCCAUUCACUGAUAGAUUUUCUUCUGUCUUCUAUUUUUACUGAAGAUGUAAGGCUCUUAUAAGAGCGUAUAUCCUCUAUUGCCAGAUAUUGUAUGGGCCGAACAAAACAGGCACUUAAAAUGAAGGGUUAUCACUCAUAUUUGGGGAAGAUUUAUCCUCGGUUGGACCGCUUGUGUUAGCGUGGCCUUGAUGGGGAAGCAUUAUUUCCUGAACAAGUGUUGUGCCUUAACAAGAGAUUUAUAAAUCUGGCAAACUGGUCCACAUCCCUGACCUGAGUAGAUUUGUUAGGGAACACCAAACAAAACCAACCAAGGGGUAGAGAGAACAAAUACAUCGCCCAACCACCCCGCACCCCCCACCCCCCGAUGGCACCAGUAUUGGUGGGCGGAGCCAGUGGUGGCGACAUCAGCCAAUGCGAGCAUUUGCCUCGCGGAACCAAUUCCCAGGGGCGGCAGACCUACGGCAGCUGCGGGCGACGCUGCGCCCAUGCCAACCGCCAACCGCGGCGGCUUUGCCCGCUGGAUCAUCUGUUCCGGCACGUCCAUCUGCACCCGCACCCCCCCACCCCCCACACCCCACAC